rnacentral:rRNA from 1 species
AAUUUUGGACAAUGGGGGAAACCCUGACCCAGCCAUCCCGCGUGUAUGAUGAAGGCCUUCGGGUUGUAAAGUACUUUUGGCAGAGAAGAAAAGGUAUCCCCUAAUACGGGAUACUGCUGACGGUAUCUGCAGAAUAAGCACCGGCUAACUACGUGCCAGCAGCCGCGGUAAUACGGAGGGUGCAAUCGUUAAUCGGAAUUACUGGGCGUAAAGCGUGUGUAGGCGGUUCGGAAAGAAAGAUGUGAAAUCCCAGGGCUCAACCUUGGAAAUGCAUUUUUAACUGCCGAGCUAGAGUAUGUCAGAGGGGGGGAGAAUUCCACGUGUAGCAGUGAAAUGCGUAGAUAUGUGGAGGAAUACCGAUGGCGAAGGCGACUUUCUGGGCUUAUACUGACACUGAGGAACGAAAGCGUGGGGAGCAAACAGG